rnacentral:rRNA from 1 species
AUACGGAGGACGCGAGCGUUAUCCGGAUUCAUUGGGUUUAAAGGGUGCGCAGGCGGCCGUGCAAGUCAGCGGUGAAAGCCCGGGGCUCAACCCCGGAAGUGCCGUUGAUACUGCAUGGCUGGAAUGCGGUCGAGGCGGGGGGAGAGUGGCGUGUAGCGGGGGAAUGCGUAGAUAUGCCACAGAACGCCGAUAGCGGAGGCAGCUCGCCAGGCCUGCAUUGACGCUCGGGCACGAAAGCGUGGGGAUCGAACAGGAUUAGAUACCCUGGUAGUCCACGCCGUAAACGAUGGGCGCUCGUCGUCGGCGGCAGACAGUCGGCGGCCAAGCGAAAGCGAUAAGCGCCCCACCUGGGGAGUACGGUCGCAAGGCUGAAACUCAAAUGAAUUGGCGGGG